rnacentral:rRNA from 1 species
AUACGUAGGUGGCGAGCGUUGUCCGGAAUUACUGGGUGUAAAGGGUGCGCAGGCGGGCCGACAAGUUGGAUGUGAAAUCUCCGGGCUCAACCCGGAACGCGCAUUCAAAACUGUUGGUCUUGAGUGAGGUAGAGGCUGGCGGGAUUCCCGGUGUAGCGGUGAAAUGCGUAGAGAUCGGGAGGAACACCAGUGGCGAAGGCGGCCAGCUGGGCCUUUACUGACGCUGAGGCACGAAAGCAUGGGUAGCAAACAGGAUUAGAUACCCUGGUAGUCCAUGCCGUAAACGAUGAUUGCUAGGUGUGGGGGGACUGACCCCUUCCGUGCCGGAGUUAACACAAUAAGCAAUCCACCUGGGGAGUACGGCCGCAAGGUUGA